rnacentral:rRNA from 1 species
GACGAACGCUGGCGGCGUGCUUAACACAUGCAAGUCGAGCGGAAAGGCCCUUCGGGGUACUCGAGCUGCGAACGGGUGCGUAACACGUGAGUAACCUGCCCCUGCCUUUGGGAUAACCCUCGGAUACGGGGGCUAAUACCGGUUACGACUCAGCUUCCCUUCUGCUUUGUGUGGAAAGUUUUUCGGUUUGGGAUGGGCUCGCGGCCUAUCAGCUUGUUGGUGGGGUUAUGGUCUACCAAGGCGACGACGGGUAGCCGGCCUGAGAGGGCGACCGGCCACACUGGGACUGAGACACGGCCCAGACUCCUACGGGAGGCAGCAGUGGGGAAUAUUGCACAAUGGGCGGAAGCCUGAUGCAGCGACGCCGCGUGAGGGAUGACGGCCUUCGGGUUGUAAACCGCUUUCAGCAGGGACGAAGCGUAAGUGACGGUACCUGCAGAAGAAGCGCCGGCCAACUACGUG